rnacentral:piRNA from 1 species
UGAGUCUGGAGCUCAGAGAAGGCCU